rnacentral:rRNA from 1 species
CUGAGAUUGGCAUGGGGGCGCCCUGAUCAGCGAUGCCGCGUGAGUGAUGAAGGCCUUCGGGUUGUAAGCUCUUUCGUGCGGGACGAUAAUGACGGUACCCCUAGAAGAGGCCCCGGCUAACUUCGUGCCAGCAGCCGCCGCGAUACUACAUG